UACGGGGGGCAAGGCGUUGUUCGGAAUUACUGGGACGUAAAGGGCUACGUAGGCGGCCAACUAAGUCGGGACGUGAAAUCCCGUCGGCUUAACCGGGGAACUGACGUCCGAUACUGGAUGGCUUGAGUUCGGGAGAGGGAUGGCGGAAUUGCCAGGUGUAGCGGAGUGGAAAUGCGUAGAAUAUCUGGAGGAACACCUGGUGGCGAAAGGCGGCCGA
rnacentral:rRNA from 1 species